rnacentral:rRNA from 1 species
UACAGAGGUCCCGAGCGUUGUUCGGAUUCACUGGGCGUAAAGGGUGCGUAGGUGGUGAGGUAAGUCGGAUGUGAAAUCUCCAAGCUCAACUUGGAAACUGCAUUGGAAACUACCUUGCUAGAGGAUUUGAGGGGGGAUUGGAAUACUUGGUGUAGCAGUGAAAUGCGUAGAUAUCAAGUGGAACACCAGUGGCGAAGGCGACUACCUGGCCUGUUCUUGACGCUGAGGCGCGAAAGCUAGGGGAGCAAACGGG